rnacentral:rRNA from 1 species
AAAUUGAAGAGUUUGAUCAUGGCUCAGAUUGAACGCUGGCGGCAGGCCUAACACAUGCAAGUCGAACGGUAACAGGAAGCAGCUUGCUGCUUUGCUGACGAGUGGCGGACGGGUGAGUAAUGUCUGGGAAACUGCCUGAUGGAGGGGGAUAACUACUGGAAACGGUGGCUAAUACCGCAUAACGUCGCAAGACCAAAGAGGGGGACCUUCGGGCCUCUUGCCAUCAGAUGUGCCCAGAUGGGAUUAGCUUGUUGGUGAGGUAACGGCUCACCAAGGCGACGAUCCCUAGCUGGUCUGAGAGGAUGACCAGCCACACUGGAACUGAGACACGGUCCAGACUCCUACGGGAGGCAGCAGUGGGGAAUAUUGCACAAUGGGCGCAAGCCUGAUGCAGCCAUGCCGCGUGUAUGAAGAAGGCCUUCGGGUUGUAAAGUACUUUCAGCGGGGAGGAAGGUGUUGUGGUUAAUAACCGCAGCAAUUGACGUUACCCGCAGAAGAAGCACCGGCUAACUCCGUGCCAGCAGCCGCGGUAAUACGGAGGGUGCAAGCGUUAAUCGGAAUUACUGGGCGUAAAGCGCACGCAGGCGGUCUGUCAAGUCGGAUGUGAAAUCCCCGGGCUCAACCUGGGAACUGCAUUCGAAACUGGCAGGCUUGAGUCUUGUAGAGGGGGGUAGAAUUCCAGGUGUAGCGGUGAAAUGCGUAGAGAUCUGGAGGAAUACCGGUGGCGAAGGCGGCCCCCUGGACAAAGACUGACGCUCAGGUGCGAAAGCGUGGGGAGCAAACAGGAUUAGAUACCCUGGUAGUCCACGCCGUAAACGAUGUCUACUUGGAGGUUGUGCCCUUGAGGCGUGGCUUCCGGAGCUAACGCGUUAAGUAGACCGCCUGGGGAGUACGGCCGCAAGGUUAAAACUCAAAUGAAUUGACGGGGGCCCGCACAAGCGGUGGAGCAUGUGGUUUAAUUCGAUGCAACGCGAAGAACCUUACCUGGUCUUGACAUCCACGGAAGUUUUCAGAGAUGAGAAUGUGCCUUCGGGAACCGUGAGACAGGUGCUGCAUGGCUGUCGUCA